rnacentral:rRNA from 1 species
UACGUAGGGGGCGAGCGUUAUCCGGAUUUACUGGGUGUAAAGGGAGCGUAGACGGCGAAGCAAGUCUGAAGUGAAAGCCCGUGGCUCAACCGCGGAACGGCUUUGGAAACUGUUUUGCUAGAGUGCUGGAGAGGCAAGCGGAAUUCCUAGUGUAGCGGUGAAAUGCGUAGAUAUUAGGAGGAACACCAGUGGCGAAGGCGGCUUGCUGGACAGUAACUGACGUUGAGGCUCGAAAGCGUGGGGAGCAAACAGG